AAAGACUCAUAAAACCAAAAGACAUUUACAUCAACAGUUACAAAUAAUAAGUAGGAAACAACACGAACUCCACUAAAAGCCAGGAGUGAAAUCAGGUGCUUCGGAAGGGUAAGCUUUUCCUGCACCGUAUACGGCACCGGUCAUGUUAUUUCUUUGUUCAGUUCGGUAAUGAUGAAAAGUUGUUAUGACUGAGGAAGAAUAUCACUGGGAUAUGAUUUCUGACACACUUUUGUCAUAAUGGCCAAUCAGCUCAUGAUGGCGACCAUAAAAUUGCUUGAGUGAUGACCUUAAUUUGAUUGAU
rnacentral:lncRNA from 1 species